rnacentral:tRNA from 1 species
GUGGGUGUAGCUCAGUUGGUUAGAGCACGAGACUGUGGCUCUCGGUGUCGCGGGUUCGAUCCCCGUCACCCACCCCA